GUUUACUUCUCCAUGACAAUAAGAGCCUUUGGUGAGUACCUGCCACUGGGAAAACUGCUUCUGGCUAAGAGCAAGCUGAUGAAUUCAGAAACUUUCACAGAGCUGGAUUUAGGCUACAGAACUCACAAAGGAUUAGGAAAUCUAUGGAGGACUAUGGAGUUCACAUGAGGAACAGGCCUGAGAUUGUCUGGAACAACCUGCAGUAAGGCAGCUUGUGUGGAUGUUCGCUCUGAUAUUCUGGGAAGCGCUGCAGGAGUGAGGAACCAGGUAGUGAGCACCCCUGGGGCAGGCUGUCCUAGAAGAGACCUAUCGGGUGAGGACUCCAGCCUUCUCUUCAUGACUCCUCCCAGGUGCUCCUGGGGGAACCAGACUCAGAAAGGAGCAACCUGGCCUUAGAAAGUGCUCCUCUGACUGAUUUUAUCAUGAACUCAUGCUUCUCCUUCUAGUGCCAUGCAGGCUGAGUAUUAAUUUAGGAAACAUUUUGUAUAAUAAAAUGGACACAGAAACAUCCAAAAGUCAUGUCAUGUUUUCCCUUACCAUGCUUUAUUUUCUGAAGCCAGGGCUGACAGCAACUUGAAAUACCACAUUAGGAACAAAAGACACUAUUUAUUUCUAGUCCCUCCAGUGACUACUGUAUUUGGCUAGAGAAAGCAUUACAGGCAGGAACGGUGAGCUUAGGACCAGACAGGAUGGAAAGAUUUUGAUCUCCUGAGUACCAAGCAAAUUCACCGGAGGUUUAAGUUCUGAAUGCCCUUUCUUGGAACCUAGAGACAUCUCUCUCUACCUCUGCUACCAGCUAACGUCAUCCUUACAGUACCUCCAUCAAAGCAGGAAAGACUAUCCAAAUAAUUACAAAACACUGUGACUGGGUUGGGCUUAUCUUAUAUCUUAAACCAUUCAGCUGAAGUUGAGAACAUUACUUUCCCAAAGUAGGAAACUCUUAACAACAAGGGAAAUAACACAUUGGUUUCAGUCCAGUAGCUUGAUGUUCAUAGGAGCGACAUUAAAUUCUGGUUCAUAAAAGUUUCAGACAAUAGUGAUUCAGAUCAUUCCUCUACUUUGAAAACAUAAAGAGCUCAGGGAAUGUUUGCCUCGUAACUGUAAGCCAUGGUGGACAAACACAGUGAUGCAAUUUGCCAUGCAGAAGUGAUUAAAAUAAGUGUAUCUACUCAAAAGGUAAUCUGCAAAGAUUCUGCUGAUACAUGAUGCACUUUGGGCUCAGAGCUUAUCCAUGUUACCCUCUGCUUUGGUAUCUGUGGUGCCUUAAAAAAGAUUGUCAUACAAUCCAUCUGGCUGGUGGGUAUGUGUCUGCUGGAUAGUGGUAGACUCCUGCCUUUUCCCCAGCACUUAUGCAAGUUCCCAUGAACAACAAAAAACUGUGAAUUUUAUCAACAGACAGAAGAACAGGAUUAUGUUUACUCCAUUAGGAGACCUAAACACUACCAAGUUUAAGCAUCAUACCUGAAUAAAACUGCAUCAGUGUUUUUCCAUCUUACAGGUCUGCAACAUACAUCAGCUUAGCAGACACUGAUCAUGGAGUAGUCUCUGUAAGCCCACAAUUACUUCUUUGACACCAGGAAUAAAGUGCAAGUGGUAAAAUACUAUAAAAAAGAAUAUUAUUUAUUUUGAUUUACUAAUGCAAUUUAUUAAUAUUACUAUCUGCUUUACUAUUGUUCUUGUAGAGGGCAUAUUACACACCUCCCCACCUUUCUGAUUAUUAUUAUAUCUUUCCCUGGUGAUUAGCAUUUACAGAAGAACCAAAGGGUAAUUGAACCUUCCUCACCUUUCAUGUUUUCAGCUAGGGUGAGCCACAAAGGCAUUUGUGAUGCAGUGACUACAGUGGCUAGCCUUGGCCAGACUGUUCUGAUCUGAUCUCCUUCAUUUAUGGAUAUUGGGAGUGGAAUUUGGUGACAAGCAUACCAAAAACGUUGUAAU